GCUGAUUUAACUCAAAUGCCAGAGCAACCGCCUUGCAAGUAGUAGGUUGUGGGUUCAACUCUUACAAUCAGCA
rnacentral:tRNA from 1 species